rfam:Aedes albopictus isolate Foshan contig120529, whole genome shotgun sequence.
GAUAAGUAAGCAUAGCGGUUAAGGCUAUGGAUCGACAAUCCGGAGACAGCGGGUUCGAUUCCCGUUCUGGUCG